AACGAACGCUGGCGGCAGGCUUAACACAUGCAAGUCGAACGCCCCGCAAGGGGAGUGGCAGACGGGUGAGUAACGCGUGGUAACGUGCCCAAAGGUACGGAACAACUCCGGGAAACUGGAGCUAAUACCGUAUGUGACCGAGAGGUGAAAGAUUUAUCGCCUUUGGAUCGGCCCGCGUUAGAUUAGCUAGUUGGUGGGGUAAAAGCCUAACAAGGCGACGAUCUAUAGCUGUUCUGAGAGGAAGAUCAGCCACACUGGGACUGAGACACGGCCCAGACUCCUACGGGAGGCAGCAGUGGGGAAUCUUGGACAAUGGGCGCAAGCCUGAUCCAGCCAUGCCGCGUGAGUGAUGAAGGCCUUAGGGUUGUAAAACUCUUUCGCCGAGGACGAUAAUGACGGUACUCGGAGAAGAAGCUCCGGCUAACUUCGUGCCAGCAGCCGCCGUAA
rnacentral:rRNA from 1 species